rnacentral:tRNA from 1 species
GGCCCAAUAGUUCAAUUGGAUAGAAUAUCAGAUUUCGGCUCUGAGGGUUGGGGGUUCGAGUCCUCCUUGGGUCA